CACGUAGGGGGCAAGCGUUGUCCGGAUUUAUUGGGCGUAAAGAGCUCGUAGGCGGUUCGGUAAGUCGGGUGUGAAACCUCCAGGCUCAACCUGGAGACGCCACCCGAUACUGCUGUGACUGGAGUCCGGUAGGGGAGCGUGGAAUUCCUGGUGUAGCGGUGAAAUGCGCAGAUAUCAGGAGGAACACCAGCGGCGAAGGCGGCGCUCUGGGCCGGUACUGACACUGAGGAGCGAAAGCGUGGGUAGCAAACAGG
rnacentral:rRNA from 1 species